rnacentral:sRNA from 1 species
GGGGUAGUGGCAAGGUGGCCAGAGCAAUUGACUGGGAGCUGGGAAUAGGAAUGAAAAGGAAGAGCUGAUAAGAAACAUGCCCAGAGCAGAUUUGAUGCUACUGCCAACGUACCUGAAUAAGAAGACAACCCUUUCCGGAAAAAGGGAAAACUUGAAGGGCUAUUGAAGGCCGCUAGAAAGAUGGAGUUUCACUCUUGUCGCCCAGGCUGGAGUACAAUGGCAUGAUCUUGGCUCACUGCAACCUCUGCCUCCAGGGUUCAAGUGAUUCUCCUGCCUCAGCCUCCUGAGUAGGUGGGCUUAUAGGUGCCCGCCACGAUGCCUAGCUAAUUUUUGUUUCAUUAGUACAAAUAGGGUUUCACCAUGUCGGCCAGGCUUGUCUCGAAUUCCUGACCUCAGGUGAUCUGCCUGCCUCGGCCUCCCAAAGUGCUGGGAUUACAGGUGUGAACCACUGUGCCCGGUUUGAGUAACCUUUAAGUAAGAAAGUGCCUUUUGGGUUGAGUUUAACAAUUUCCAUGGUAGAGAAUCUCUUCUGCUAUAUGCUAUUUACUUAGCUUCUGCCUAGUAUAUGCAGCAGCAGAAAAUGGUUUCCCUUGUUGUAGGUCUAAUGAGAUUUAGAACACUUUGGGUCCUCAGAUAUAGUGAGCAAGAUUUUCACUUCAUAGAUGAAGGAACUGCAGCCUAAAGAAUUGGGAAGAAAAGGUUUAUCCAGGCUUGCUGUGCAUUCCUUCCCUUCUCUGGGAAUUCCCUUGGAGAAGAAAUCUGGCUGAUCAAAUCUCCUUGUAAACAUGCUGUGAAGACUCUGGGGAAAACCACUAAUGAUAUUUGUUAGUGGCAGUCUUUAUCUUUGAGAGACUUUUAGCAGCAUGAACCUUACCCCCGUAGUAGAAUUGUAUAUGGUAAACAAACCUGGAAUCUAAGGAUUCAUGGGUAAUGGCUUCUUGAAAAGUGUCAAGUAAGCUAUGUAACUACGGCAGGAGAUGGAGCUACUUCAGGGUUAAAAAAGCUGGCUUUCAUUUCGUGCAAGUAAUGUACUUGUGUACAUCUUUUGGAGAACCAUAUGUUAAAUCUGAAUCAGACCAAGUCCUAAUGUGAUAAGAAAAGGGCUGUGGAGUAGUAUUGGCAGUCCUGGGCUUUUCCCUAUGUUCCCUGUACCUUGUGAUUACUUAUAGCUUUGACAUUAUUAGUAAAGCUUGAUACUUGGUAAAAUA